CAGUAGCCACGGGAAUACGGAGGGGGCUAGCGUUGUUCGGAAUUACUGGGCGUAAAGCGCACGUAGGCUGCUUUGUAAGUUAGAGGUGAAAGCCUGGUGCUCAACACCAGAACUGCCUUUAAGACUGCAGAGCUAGAACGUCGGAGAGGUGAGUGGAAUUCCGAGUGUAGAGGUGAAAUUCGUGGAUAUUCGGAAGAACACCAGUGGCGAAGGCGGCUCACUGGACGACUGUUGACGCUGAGGUGCGAAAGCGUGGGGAGCAAACAGGAUUAGAUACCCGAGUAGUCCCUGUCUCUUAUAC
rnacentral:rRNA from 1 species